rnacentral:rRNA from 1 species
CCUACGGGAGGCUGCAGUGGGGAAUUUUGGACAAUGGGCGCAAGCCUGAUCCAGCUAUUCCGCGUGUGGGAAGACGGCCUUCGGGUUGUAAACCACUUUUGUAGAGAACGAAAAGUCUGUUGAUAAUACCGAUAGAUGAUGACGGUACUCUAAGAAUAAGCACCGGCUAACUACGUGCCAGCAGCCGCGGUAAUACGGAGGGUGCGAGCGUUAAUCGGAAUUACUGGGCGUAAAGGGUGUGCAGGCGGUUUUGCAAGAUGGAUGUGAAAGCCCCGGGCUUAACCUGGGAAAGCCAUACAUGACUGCAAGACUAGAGUGCGGUAGAGGGGGGUGGAAUUCCAGGUGUAGCAGUGAAAUGCGUAGAUAUUUGGAAGAACACCGAUGGCGAAGGCAGCCCCCUGGGACGCAACUGACGCUCAUACACGAAAGCGUGGGGAGCAAACAGGAUUAGAUACCCCUGUAGUC